rnacentral:rRNA from 1 species
UUCCAGCUCCAAUAGCGUAUAUUAAAGUUGUUGCGGUUAAAAAGCUCGUAGUUGAAUUUGUGUUCCGCACUGUCGGUUCACCGCCCGCGGUGUUAACUGGCAUGUUUUUGCGGAACGUCCUGCCGGUGGAUGUUUAAAUACUUAUUCUAUAUAUUGGGUAUAAUUAUUCCUUUUAAUCGGGGGAUUUUUAUUUACUUUUUUAUAUGUGUUUGUAUACAUCCGACUUUAUAAAUCCUAUCACGGUGCUCUUAAUUGAGUGUCGAGGUGGGCCGGCACGUUUACUUUGAACAAAUUAGAGUGCUCAAAGCAGGCUAAUUAAUGCCUGAAUAAUUAGUGCAUGGAAUAAUGGAACAGGACCUUGGUUCUAUUUUGUUGGUUUUCGGAACGCCCAAGGUAAUGAUUAAUAGGGACAGAUGG